rnacentral:rRNA from 1 species
GACGAACGCUGGCGGCGCGCCUAACACAUGCAAGUCGAACGAGUGAGAGAGAGCUUGCUUUCUCGAGCGAGUGGCGAACGGGUGAGUAACGCGUGAGGAACCUGCCUCAAAGAGGGGGACAACAGUUGGAAACGACUGCUAAUACCGCAUAAGCCCACGGCUCGGCAUCGAGCAGGGGGAAAAGGAGUAAUCCGCUUUGAGAUGGCCUCGCGUCCGAUUAGCUAGUUGGUGAGGUAAUGGCCCACCAAGGCAACGAUCGGUAGCCGGACUGAGAGGUUGAACGGCCACAUUGGGACUGAGACACGGCCCAGACUCCUACGGGAGGCAGCAGUGGGGAAUAUUGCACAAUGGGGGAAACCCUGAUGCAGCGACGCCGCGUGGAGGAAGAAGGUUUUCGGAUUGUAAACUCCUGUCUUCGGGGACGAUAAUGACGGUACCCGAGGAGGAAGCCACGGCUAACUACGUGCCAGCAGCCGCGGUAAAACGUAGGUCACAAGCGUUGUCCGGAAUUACUGGGUGUAAAGGGAGCGCAGGCGGGAAGACAAGUUGGAAGUGAAAUCUAUGGGCUCAACCCAUAAACUGCUUUCAAAACUGUUUUUCUUGAGUAGUGCAGAGGUAGGCGGAAUUCCCGGUGUAGCGGUGGAAUGCGUAGAUAUCGGGAGGAACACCAGUGGCGAAGGCGGCCUACUGGGCACCAACUGACGCUGAGGCUCGAAAGUGUGGGUAGCAAACAGG